rnacentral:rRNA from 1 species
UACGUAGGGGGCGAGCGUUGUCCGGAGUUACUGGGCGUAAAGGGCAUGCAGGCGGUCCGACACGUUUUGUGUGACAGCGGGUGGCUUAACUACCCGAGGAUACGAAAGACGGUUGGACUUGAGGACUCGAGAGGGACACGGAAUUCCGGGUGGAGUGGUGAAAUGCGUAGAGAUCCGGAGGAACACCGAAGGCGAAGGCAGUGUCCUGGCGAGUGACUGACGCUGAGGUGCGAAAGCCAGGGGAGGCAAACGGGG